rnacentral:lncRNA from 1 species
GGAGGCAGUGGUCUCCACUUAUCCUGGUGGGAAUGGCCUUCUGUGCCUGCUCAGCCCCUGGCUGGGAGGUUUGGGAGCCCUGUGGGCUCUGCAGCCCCAGGACCUCCCGAUGAGCUGCUCGUCAGGGUGGUGCCAGGAAGGGUUCUGGUCACUGGUGGUGCAUGUGGAGGAGCAGCAAUUUCUGUUGCUCUUCCCCUUUCUCUGCUGUCCUCUUACCUGCUGCAAACCCUUUCUGUGUGCAGCUGGAGACCAGCCUGUUCCGUGAGGAGCCCCUGCCUUACCUGGUGUACCAGCCCCUGCCCUGGCAGAUCCAGUGCGUGUCCCAGAGCCGCCGCACCAGCCGGGACAGCGAGAGAGGAAAGAGCUCUCGGCACAACAGCAUCUACUCACUUUCUGGAGACAAAGGUGAUGUGACCCCUGAUGACAGCAAGGACAGCACGUUCUUCAGCGACCCUUCGGAGAGGGCAGCCAUCACCAUCCAGACCCACUUCAGGAGGUACCAGCAGCAGAAGCAGGAAAAGAAGUAGAUACAUCAGCCACCCGUGCCCUGCACUGUCCCUCCUGUUUGUCUGUUCUGUACCCCAGAGACAUUUGGGGCUGUGGUGACUGUGAACCUGCCCCUGAACCUACACCUGCACCCCCUUGGUGCAGCUGUAGGUUCUCUGCCCUUGUGUUGGUCGCUGCUCAGAGCGAGCUCUCUGUCCUGCUGUCCUUCCCCAGACAGCAUUGCCUUGUGGGCCAGGGUGCAGCUGGAAGGGGGCUGUUGAGGACCUUGGAACAGGGGGGUGAUGCUGCAGCCUGUCCUUGGCCAGCCCUUGGGUCACAAUGAGUGAGUCCCAGCAGCUGUGUGGGUGGCAGUGGGGCCCUGCACAGCUGAAGGUGGUUGUGCUGGCUGGUCUCUGCCCAGCUGGGGCUUGUUUCACUCACCACUGACCCUCCCCUGUGCCUCUGCCUCCUUCACUCUGCUUCUGGAGUUGGAUGGAACAACUACCUUUGUCCUCUGCUCUGGGUGGAUGGCUGGCAGAGGUGCCAGCACAGUGUCCAGGAGCCAGCCUGGAGUGGGAAUGUCACCGAGGGGAUGUGCUGCAGGCAACUCAGGAGCUGAGCUGUGAGCUGAUCUUACCUUUUCUUGGGGACAACUGGUUGGGGUGCCAGAGCAAGUGUGGGGUGAGACUCUGUCUCCUGAAGCUGAACCUGCUUUUCUUCCUGAGGCAGCCCUCUGGUAAUGCUGGUGUUUGGGUUAGAGCCCACCCAGCCCCUUGCUCUGGUGCUUUGGUGCAGCAAAGCUGAACAGAGACCUGCAGGCAGGUCAGGCAGGGACAGGAGUCCAGGAGAGUCUUGGGUCUGAGUGUCUCUGUUUCUGAGUGCUGUUGUUUGCAGCUUGAAAGAGGGAAUAUGAAAGCACAGAGCUCUGGGCCAGCACAGAAACAGGAGAUUUGCUGUGAGC